rnacentral:rRNA from 1 species
GACGAACGCUGGCGGCGUGCUUAACACAUGCAAGUCGAACGCUGAAGCUCAGCUUGCUGGGUGGAUGAGUGGCGAACGGGUGAGUAACACGUGAGUAACCUGCCCUCUUCUUUGGGAUAACGCCCGGAAACGGGUGCUAAUACUGGAUAUUCACUGAUUCUCGCAUGGGGGUUGGUGGAAAGGUUUUUUCUGGUGGGGGAUGGGCUCGCGGCCUAUCAGCUUGUUGGUGGGGUGAUGGCCUACCAAGGCUUUGACGGGUAGCCGGCCUGAGAGGGUGACCGGUCACAUUGGGACUGAGAUACGGCCCAGACUCCUACGGGAGGCAGCAGUGGGGAAUAGUGCACAAUGGGCGAAAGCCUGAUGCAGCGACGCCGCGUGAGGGAUGGAGGCCUUCGGGUUGGAAACCUCUUUCGCUCAUGGUCAAGCCGCAGCUUUGGGUUGUGGUGAGGGUAGUGGGUAAAGAAGCGCCGGCUAACUACGUG